rnacentral:rRNA from 1 species
AAUUCGUAGUCAUAUGCUUGUCUCAAAGAUUAAGCCAUGCAUGUCUAAGUAUAAGCAACUAUACUGUGAAACUGCGAAUGGCUCAUUAAAUCAGUUAUCGUUUAUUUGAUAGUACCUUACUACAUGGAUAACCGUGGUAAUUCUAGAGCUAAUACAUGCUAAAAACCUCGACUUCGGAAGGGGUGUAUUUAUUAGAUAAAAAACCAAUGCCCUUCGGGGCUCCCUGGUGAUUCAUAAUAACUUAACGAAUCGCAUGGCCUUGUGCCGGCGAUGGUUCAUUCAAAUUUCUGCCCUAUCAACUUUCGAUGGUAGGAUAGUGGCCUACCAUGGUUUCAACGGGUAACGGGGAAUUAGGGUUCUAUUCCGGAGAAGGAGCCUGAGAAACGGCUACUACAUCCAAGGAAGGCAGCAGGCGCGCAAAUUACCCAAUCCCGACACGGGGAGGUAGUGACAAUAAAUACUGAUACAGGGCUCUUUUGAGUCUUGUAAUUGGAAUGAGUACAAUUUAAAUACCUUAACGAGGAACAAUUGGAGGGCAAGUCUGGUGCCAGCAGCCGCGGUAAUUCCAGCUCCAAUAGCGUAUAUUAAAGUUGUUGCAGUUAAAAAGCUCGUAGUUGAACCUUGGGCCUGGUUGGCCGGUCCGCCUCACCGCGUGCACUGGUCCGACCGGGUCUUUCCUUCUGGGGAGCCGCAUGCCCUUCACUGGGUGUGUCGGGGAACCAGGACUUUUACUUUGAAAAAAUUAGAGUGUUCAAAGCAGGCCUAUGCUCGAAUACAUUAGCAUGGAAUAAUAGAAUAGGACGUGUGGUUCUAUUUUGUUGGUUUCUAGGACCGCCGUAAUGAUUAAUAGGGAUAGUCGGGGGCAUCAGUAUUCAAUUGUCAGAGGUGAAAUUCUUGGAUUUAUUGAAGACUAACUACUGCGAAAGCAUUUGCCAAGGAUGUUUUCAUUAAUCAGUGAACGAAAGUUAGGGGAUCGAAGACGAUCAGAUACCGUCGUAGUCUUAACCAUAAACUAUGCCGACUAGGGAUCGGGCGAUGUUAUCUUUUUGACUCGCUCGGCACCUCACGAGAAAUCAAAGUCU